rnacentral:rRNA from 1 species
GAUGAACGCUGGCGGCGUGCUUAACACAUGCAAGUCGAACGAUGAAGCCCAGCUUGCUGGGUGGAUUAGUGGCGAACGGGUGAGUAACACGUGAGUAACCUGCCCUUAACUUUGGGAUAAGCCUGGGAAACUGGGUCUAAUACCGGAUAGGAGCGCCCACCGCAUGGUGGGUGUUGGAAAGUUUUGUCGGUUUGGGAUGGACUCGCGGCCUAUCAGCUUGUUGGUGGGGUAAUGGCUUACCAAGGCGACGACGGGUAGCCGGCCUGAGAGGGUGACCGGCCACACUGGGACUGAGACACGGCCCAGACUCCUACGGGAGGCAGCAGUGGGGAAUAUUGCACAAUGGGCGCAAGCCUGAUGCAGCGACGCCGCGUGAGGGAUGACGGCCUUCGGGUUGUAAACCUCUUUCAGUAGGGAAGAAGCGAGAGUGACGGUACCUGCAGAAGAAGCACCGGCUAACUACGUG